UGAACGCUAGCUACAGGCUUAACACAUGUAAGUCGAGGGGCAGCGGUAUCGAAAGCUUGCUUUCGGUAGCCGGCGACCGGCGCACGGGUGAGUAACGCGUAUCGAACCUGCCUCAUACUCGGGAAUAGCCUUGCGAAAGUAAGAUUAAUGCCCGGUGUUUUCAGAGUCCCGCAUGAGGCUUUGAACAAAGAUUUAUCGGUAUGAGAUGGCGAUGCGUCCCAUUAGCUUGUUGGCGGGGUAACGGCCCACCAAGGCAUCGAUGGGUAGGGGUUCUGAGAGGAAGGUCCCCCACAUUGGAACUGAGACACGGUCCAAACUCCUACGGGAGGCAGCAGUGAGGAAUAUUGGUCAAUGGGCGGAAGCCUGAACCAGCCAAGUAGCGUGCAGGAAGACGGCCCUCCGGGUUGUAAACUGCUUUUAGUUGGGAAUAAAACGGGGCUCGUGAGCCCCCUUGCAUGUACCAUCAGAAAAAGGACCGGCUAAUUCCGUGCCAGCAGCCGCGGUAAUACGGAAGGUCCGGGCGUUAUCCGGAUUUAUUGGGUUUAAAGGGAGCGCAGGCGGACCUUUAAGUCAGCUGUGAAAUACGGCGGCUCAACCGUCGAACUGCAGUUGAUACUGGAGGUCUUGAGUGCACACAGGGAUGCUGGAAUUCAUGGUGUAGCGGUGAAAUGCUCAGAUAUCAUGAAGAACUCCGAUCGCGAAGGCAGGCAUCCGGGGUGCAACUGACGCUGAGGCUCGAAAGUGCGGGUAUCAAACAGGAUUAGAUACCCUGGUAGUCCGCACAGUAAACGAUGAAUACUCGCGGUUUGCGAUACAGUGUAAGCCGCCAAGCGAAAGCGUUAAGUAUUCCACCUGGGGAGUACGCCGGCAACGGUGAAACUCAAAGGAAUUGACGGAAGG
rnacentral:rRNA from 1 species